rnacentral:tRNA from 1 species
CGGAGCGUGGCGUAGUUGGUAGCGCGCUGGGCUGGGGGUCCAGAGGUCGUGGGUUCGAAUCCCGCCGCUCCGA